rnacentral:rRNA from 1 species
GAUGAACGCUGGCGGCGUGCCUAAUACAUGCAAGUCGAGCGAACAGACGAGGAGCUUGCUCCUCUGACGUUAGCGGCGGACGGGUGAGUAACACGUGGAUAACCUACCUAUAGACUGGGAUAACUUCGGGAAACCGGAGCUAAUACCGGAUAAUAUAUUGGACCGCAUGGUUCAAUAGUGAAAGACGGUUUUGCUGUCACUUAUAGGUGGAUCCGCGCCGCAUUAGCUAGUUGGUAAGGUAACGGCUUACCAAGGCAACGAUGCGUAGCCGACCUGAGAGGGUGAUCGGCCACACUGUAACUGAGACACGGUCCAGACUCCUACGGUAGGCCGCAGUAGGGAAUCUUCCGCAAUGGGCGAAAGCUUGACGGAGCAACGCCGCGUGAGUGAUGAAGGUCUUCGGAUCGUAAAACUCUGUUAUUAGGGAAGAACAAAUGUGUAAGUAACUAUGCACGUCUUGACGGUACCUAAUCAGAAAGCCACGGCUAACUACGUG